UACGGAGGAUCCAAGCGUUAUCCGGAAUCAUUGGGUUUAAAGGGUCCGUAGGCGGUUUUAUAAGUCAGUGGUGAAAUCUGGUCGCUCAACGAUCAAACGGCCAUUGAUACUGUAGAACUUGAAUUACUUGGAAGCAACUAGAAUAUGUAGUGUAGCGGUGAAAUGCUUAGAGAUUACAUGGAAUACCAAUUGCGAAGGCAGGUUACUACAAGUACAUUGACGCUGAUGGACGAAAGCGUGGGGAGCGAACAGG
rnacentral:rRNA from 1 species